GUCAUUCUCUGCUCCCACCUCUGCGUCUCCCACCGCACACCAGGGCGCCUCCUGAGAGGUGCCUCACCCAACACUGUGUCCUUACUGCACAGGGCCUGGCGACUGGCAUGUACAGUGGAUCACUCGCGGAAACAAAUGAAUGGAGUUAAUCAGGAAACAUUCUGCUCUGAGUGGAACCCUAACUACCUGACUCAAUAUCAACCGUGCAAAGAAUUUUGAAGAGGAGAGAAGGCAGGCUGGAAGAGGAAAAAAAAUACUAAAACUAGACGCUCACUGGUUACAACUUGAAUAGAACUAAUAAAUUUAUAUACAGACUGAAAACUUUACAUCGUCUAGACUUGUGAAGGACUAGAAGAGAGUCUCAAGUUGCAGAAUGUCAGAAGAACAAUGACAUAGGUGAGGAAACAGGGAUGGAACUUCUUAUGACAAAUGUCCCUUUUCUGAAGAGAUUGAAUAUUAGAAACUCGGAGCCUGACUGGUAUAGGGUGAGAUAAACAGAUGUAGUGUUGCAAGUACAUUUUUGGGUAGCAAUUAAGCAGGACAUGGAGACACUAGUUUAUUAAUGAAUCAAUUCAUUUUUUUGUUCAAUGAAUAAACAAGCGAAUAAAUGAGCCCAACCUGCUUCAUUAAAUAUUUAUUUUCAAUACAUUUAAUAUCCUGUUUCAUUCCAUAAAAUGAACAUUUCAAGGUGGCUGAAAAUGCUUUAGGCCAAAAUGAGAUUGGAAAACCCUUGCCUCAUGCAGUUCUAGGAAGUUGGACAUAAAAUGGUGUAAGCUGAGCUCCUCAUUCUGAGGAGCAAGACAUUAUAUGGAAUAUGGAAAAUCACUGCUUGUUCUGAAAUAGCUACUGUUUCAAUUAGCGAGGAAAAGGAAAAAACAUGGAAUUUUGAUCACAUCUAAAAAUAAUUAGUCUUCAAAGAUAAAGUACACCUACAUGUUCAUGAUGGUGAGAUUACAAAAUAGGUCUCAGGGUGUGUUCCAACUGUGAACUCUGAAUUGUCUUAGCAAUGAAUAGAUAGAGGAUGACACUAGGGUACAGGAAAAUAAAUACUAGGAACGUGUAAUAUUGUUAGCACUAAAAUGCAUCUGACUCCUUCUACCAACUGUCCAAAAUUUCAUGUUUCUACUAGGUCUGGGUACCAAAAAAAAACUCUUAUGACUUUGUAAAUAUUGAUGGAUUGUUUUCUCUAAGGCACUUCACAUAUUAGAAGGUCAGUGAACCUCAGACAUUCCUUGUCCCCUGUUGCACCCAAUUUAUUAUAUAAUUUUGUAUGCUCUUGUAUGUGAGUCUUAAUUUCCAAAUAAUAUCCACAACAAUUUUAUAUGUUUAUAUUUUUGCCUUUUCAGAUUUCAAGUUG
rnacentral:lncRNA from 1 species